CCGGUGUCAUGGCUCCCUGUCGUGAUCGCAGUGAUGAGGGAUCCUCAGUUCCGUUAGACAACCUUCUGGAACUUCUGCUGACUGCAGGACGCGUGGGAAGACUUGGGACACCGGGAAGCCGCGCAGUGGUGAUGUGAAGUCCUGUGUUUCCAGUAUUUCCCUACAUUGCCAGCUCAUAAUAUAUGCACAUAAGUGCCAUGAGAAUGCGAUGCAAGGCUUAACACUGCAGGUAACCUGACUCCGGAUGAGUGCUUCCCAAGCAUGCAGUGAACUCAGCAAAGCAAUUAUCACCCUAGUUAUUUAUGGCAGAGCCCUAUUGACAACUAGAAAGAACACUAUCAUCAACUCAGGAUACUACGGAGUGAGUUCUUGAAACCUAAGGAAGAUGGUAGUACUCCUUCUGGUAGCUCCGCAUCUCAGGUCUCUAGACUCACCCUUGCUGAGCUUGCCUGUCUCUGACAUAUAAAGAGGAAAAAAAAAAUCAGAGAUCAGCGCCAAGCAAAACUGUAUUACAGGUAGUGCAAGAAAAGAUACAAAGACACUCCAUAAGAGAAGCAUGAAUAAUCCAAGCUGAGUCACAAAGCGGGGUGCCUUACUGGUUCAUGGGAUGGGGGCCCUAUCUCCACCACCUCCAAGGGUCACUGUGUGAUUGGUUAUUGGACUUUUUGGUAGGACCUGGCUUUUGCUAUAGGCAAUUUUCCAGCAACCAUUUUACCAACACAUUUUGGAGAAGUUACCUUCUGCAAAGGGAGCUUAAAGAAGCAGGGUGUAGCUUAUACAGAUACACGAGUGAAACUACAGCUGUCAACAAGACUUUGCUGUGACACAGAAACUAUGUCUCCUUUACUUCUUACAGGGCUCAGUUCCCUAUGUAACUGUCCUUAUAUGCCUCAGUUCACCCUACAUUAGGCGAAUUUUCAUUGAAAGUAAGAAUACCUCCCCUGAUUUUUGGAAUCAUCCGGAGUGGGUGGCUAAAUGGCUGCUCAAUCCAGAGCUAAUUAUAAAUAACCAGAGCACAGUAAUUGUUUGGUUAUUUAAUGUCCACCUCUCACAGGUGGCUCUGUGUAUGUAAAAUGACUGUGUUAAACUCAGGAAAUCAAACGUAUUUUCUUAACGUGUAAGGCUGAAAAAAAAAAAACUGGGAUUCUAGAGAAAAAGUGGUUGUUUUGCACUUUAAGUUCAGGGAAACUGGACAGUUUGGUGAGGAGUGGCUGGAACUCCUUGUAGGAUGGAAGACUGCAUUUCCUGUUUCCUGAGGAAGUUCCGUCUUGUUCUUCUAUCUAUAGUUCACUAUGUCUUCUUAUUUUAUUUCUCAUUAUAAUGGCUUAUUUCUCAAACACACUAUAGGCUGUUUUCUUUUGCUGGGUGCCUUAUUUAUAAAGUAGCUAAACAACCUAUUCUUUACAAACGAUCUAAAUGAUGCCUUCCAGAGAGCUUAGAAUGCUGAGGAAAAUGGUGGGGAUUUUAAUGUAUUGUAAAUGUGGAAAGAGGUGGUCUUUUUUAUUUAUUUAUUUAUUUUUUGUCUUUUUCCUUUUUAUCGGUACCAGGGACCGAACUCACGACUGCCUGCUUGCAAGGCAGGCACUUAUGCCGCUGAGCUAAAUCCCCAGCCCCUGGUAGUCUUUUUGACAAAGAAAAUAAUUAAAAUAUGUUCAUUUUAUAAGAAUUCCUACCCAUGUAAAAUCCUUUUAUUGUAAUAUGUACAUGUGCUUGUUCACUAUUAUAGAAAACUUUAUGUGGCAGAUGGAUAGGGCUAUGUGCCUAUCCAUCUGCCAUAAAACUUUUCAUCUAUGGGCUUUCCAGACCACAGAAUUCAGUCUGCCUGGCCACCAUGAAAGUACCAAAUUUUGUUAGAUCACAAGGUCCACUCCCAUCAAUGGUGUGAUGACAGUGUGCUUCAGGGAUAAAAUACAGCCAGCUCAUCUUGCUUGCUUGGCAUUGUCUCUUCUGCAUAAAGAAAGUUUAAUUCACUGAGAAACUUUUGAAAGUAGGUUUUAAUUUGUUCUGUUUGUGACACCAGUCAGUUUGUACCCAAAAUCAAGGAAUGGGAAAGGGGUCUUGCUAAGGACAACCUUCUGGGAGAGCUACAGGUAAAACUCAACCUGAGAAACACAUUUAACUGGGUCAUCGACAUGUAAAUAGAUGUGAUACUGGCAGUGGUUGGAAGGGCAAGAGCUGUCAUCCCUAAAAUCAUUGCUAUCAUCCUUGUACUGUUUCUACAUAUUGAAUUAAAAUUGAGAUGUUGAUUGAGAUGGACUUCUUAUAAAACAAGUACUGAAGCAGAGGUAAAUCCCCAGAGUUAGGUUCUACAUGCUUAAAAAUGAAUAGGAAAAAAAGGAAUUUUUGAAUAGAGAAGAACAAUGAGGAUUAAAAAGUAAAUAGGGUAGCAAAAAUAAGGUGGCUGAUUGUGUUUGUAACUGUAUAUGCAUCUUCCAAUCUGUUCCACUGGUCCUCAGGGUUAUUUUUUUGCCAGCACUCUGCUGCUUUUAUCACAGUAACUUUGUGAUAAUUCAAGUCAGGGAUUGUGAUGUCUUUGCCUCACCUUUGUUGCCCAGUGUUGCCUUUGCUAUUCUGGGCAUUUCUGCUUGCAGAUGAAUUUUAGCAGUGUUUUCUCUAGUUCUGUGAGGCAUGUUAAGGGUAUUUUAAAUGGAAAUGCAUUAAAUCUGUAUAACAUUUUGGGGAGUAUGGCCAUUUUCACUGUUUGCCCUUCCUACCCAUGAGUAAGUGAUACCCUUCCAUUUUCUGAUAUCCCCUUUAAUCUCCUUUUUCAGAGUACUGCAAUUUUGAUGAUAUAGAUCUUUUAUUUGUUUUGUUAGAUUGAUCCUACCUAUAUCAUUUUUUUGGAUGCCAUUGUGAAGGGUGUUGUUUCCCCAAUUUCUCUCUCAGUGUGUUUUUAUUUUUUUAUUUUUUAUUUUGUCUUUUUCGUUUUUACCGGUACCAGGGUUCGAACUCACGACUGCCUGCUUGCAAGGCAGGCACUUAUGCCGCUGAGCUAAAUCCCCAGCCCCGUCUCAGUGUGUUUUUAAAAUGAUGCUCUGAGCCAAAUCCUUUGUGAUUGUUCCAGCAAGCUUACAAUUACUGAAACAUUCCUUAAUAGAAGUCCACAGAAAUAAUGUAAAUACAUAAAUUAAGAAUAUGACAAACAGUUCCAUACACAUUUGGGGUUCUUGAGAACUUGUUUGCUCCAUGUUUAACAAUUGAUAACAUCAAUACAUUUCUUUUUCUCUAGUUUCUUGUAAACCUAUUUCUUUUUGGAUUUCUCCUAAGCAUAUUUAUAUCUUUAGCUUCUCUUAAGCCUAUUUUUCUUCUUAGCUUCUUUUAAACCUAUAUCACUCUUUGACCACAAUGAAAUCAUAUUUUGAUCCAAGUUUAACACCUGAUGAUUUUACUGUCCAUUCAUUCCAUAAUGAAUACUAAGCACUACCAAUGCACUUCUCACUUUUGCAUGCACACACUCAUAAGUCCAUGCUUCAGUUGCUAAUUGCUGCUUACCAGAGGAGCACUCAAUAUUCUCAGUGGGAAAGACAGUGAAAAGAUGGGAAAAUGAAAAGAGAUGAAAGUUGGGGUCAGGUGGAGUCCUCUGUCUUGAUUGGGGAAAAGAAAUGCACAUUUAUUUCUACAUUCAGAAGUAUAAUAUCAAUCUCAAUUCCUCUGCCUCAUAACUUGUUUUCCAGGCUGGCCUGGACCCCUUGCCUUCUCAUAGUUGUGAAAACAUUUUAUGUGGCUUUCUUUGGGCUCUACCUGUUAUCAUGGCUGGUCUGAUUUUAACUCCACAUGUGUGAUGAAUCUACAUCCUCAAUCACUCUCUGAGCAACACUACUGUGUUAUGAUUUUGUUGUUUCUUUGACUUUUUUUGACUAAUAGUCUGGCUGCUGCAAUGCAUCUUGCCAGAAGAUUUUAGCAUGAUAAGUCUGGGUCUCUCUUAACAUUUAAAAAUUUUAAUGGAAUACCUGUUACAAAACUGCAAUCUGAAAUCUUGUCCUGGAAAUAGCCAAAAGUUAAAGGAAAAUCUGAAUAUGCUGCCCUGUUUUUUCUUUGUCUCUGAAUGCACAUAAUCUGGAAAAAAAUUAAAUUAUUUGAAAAUGAUAA